GUGCGCGCUAGAUCGACGGCUGGGAUCUAUUCAGAUGCGAAUUCUCUCUCCUUCGCUCGUUUCUCUUUCAUUCUCACAGACGCCAUUUUCGUUCUCCCUUACCUCAAUUAACAACUCGAUUUUAUGGAUUCGUUGCAAAAUUGGGAUGAAUUUGCUGCAAAUUCGCCGAGAAAGUAUUUUUUUGAGUUUGCUGAAUUGAUUCAAAUUUCUUUUGCAAGCGCAAAAUCUCAGUUGAGUAUGCAAAAUCGAGCUCUAAAAUAGCUUGAAUUUCCAAUUUGUAAGCGAUUGUUGCGAAUUUCUCAUGGAUAGAGGCAAACAGCGAUCCUAAGUUGGGUGGCAGAGAGACUAUCAGGGGAUGAGAUUUCAAUGUUUGCAAACUUAUGUUGGUCCUCUUGGACUAGCAGGAAUAACGUCAUUCAUGAGCCGUCAACACACGAUCCUAUAACGCUAGCUACAGUUUUCACUAGGCUUGGAAGUAUCUUUGGGCUUCUCCUAUGUAAGAAAGAUGUGGCUACUGAAGAUACAAUCCGGAGAGCUAUGGGCAUAAUUGUUGAGAAUGAGAAAGCUAUUAUUCAACCUGAUCGAAUGUUGUAUGCUCAUAUAGCUGCUACACGGUGAUGGAAACCUCUUAAAUUUGGGGUGUUCAAGUUGAAUACUGAUGCAGCUUGCUUUGAGGAUAUAUUAUUUGGUCUGGGGUUGUUAUUCGUGACACUAGAGGUGAUGUUCUACUGGUUGCGGGGCAAAUUUGUAGUUGAUUUUAGUGAGGCGCUUGCUGCUAGGAAUGCUUUGCAAAUCGCAAUUGAAGCUGGUCUCAAUAGAAUUAUAUUGGAGACGGACAAUGCUAAACUGUACCAUCAUCUCAAGAGCAACAAAUGAGACAAAUGAGGUUGCUCACAUAUUAACACAUUUGAGUAAAUGUUAUGUUGAGAUGAGAGUGUGGAUCGUAGAGGUGCCUGAUGGUUUAUUGGAUGUAGUGGUUCUUGGCAUUUCAAGUAUUCCUUGAUAAAUUUGCUUGUUUUCUUUGUGUCCAAAAAAAAAGUAAACCUAUUAGCUCAAA